GGGUGGGCAAGCAAGAGUAAUGCAGUGAAUGCGUGCGAGUAGUGGAGCUGCGAUGGAGUGACGGGGAGCGCAUUGCAGUGUCACGCACGGUAACGGCCAUUGAUGUGCACUGACGGAUCCAUCGGGCAGCAAUCAGUGCGAUGAACUCCACCAAUAACAGCCAGGGUUAAUCCAGCGCUUAGCUGCUUCGCGCCACUCACCACACACCCUGGUGAUUCACUACUUUAGAAGUUGGUUCUUUGGGGUUUUUUUCCGGUACCGGGAAUCGAACUGACGACCUUGGGCUUGCCAGGCAGGCGCUGUGCCACUGAGCUAAAUCCCCAGCCCCUACUUUAGGUGUUUCUACAGGUUUUUAUGUUAAAGUCACACAGUUACUAAUUAGAUGAUUGUGAAAGGAACCUGAUGCAAACACCACUGUCUCCUGGUAGAACGUCUCUGACCCAACGUUCUGGGAGCACAGAGUCUGUAUGCUUACCCCAAUCGAGGACUUGCUGCAGGUGCUGAGCGGGGAGCUGCUCCUGUGAUGACUUUGGCAGCGUGAGCACUGCGAAGAGAGGCCGAGGACCCUGAGGGAGAAAGCCGGUAAAGCAGCCUCCUCUGAAGAAGGCUCACCGUGUAUUUAUUUCACAGCUGGAUGUUGAACCCAGGGCUUUGCACAUGCUAGGCGAGCACUGUACCGCCGAGAGCCCAAGCCCGGCUUGCCCUUUUUAAUUUCUGACUCUCAUUCUGAAUUCCUGGCUCUGACCCUUUCCCCCCAUUCCACCUACUUGCACAGGUAGGGAGACGUGAACAGACUGGCAGUAUGAUGUAAAGACCAGCCGAGAGAGAAGAUAAUAAUCAGCAUGUGUAUAGUGUAGAGUGCUAUAUUAAAAACUGUGGGCGUCA